rnacentral:rRNA from 1 species
ACUCCUACGGGAGGCAGCAGUGGGGAAUCUUGGACAAUGGGCGCAAGCCUGAUCCAGCCAUGCCGCGUGAGUGAUGAAGGCCCUAGGGUCGUAAAGCUCUUUCGCCAGGGAUGAUAAUGACAGUACCUGGUAAAGAAACCCCGGCUAACUCCGUGCCAGCAGCCGCGGUAAUACGGAGGGGUUAGCGUUGUUCGGAAUUACUGGGGCGUAAAGCGCGCGUAGGCGGACUGGAAAGUUGGGGGUGAAAUCCCGGGGGCUCAACCCCGGAACUGCCUCCAAAACUCCCAGUCUUGAGUUCGAGAGAGGUGAGUGGAAUUCCGAGUGUAGAGGUGAAAUUCGUAGAUAUUCGGAGGAACACCAGUGGCGAAGGCGGCUCACUGGCUCGAUACUGACGCUGAGGUGCGAAAGUGUGGGGAGCAAACAGGAUUAGAUACCCUGGUAGGAUACCG